GAAGUAAAAGUCGUAACAAGGUUUCCGUAGGUGAACCUGCGGAAGGAUCAUUAUUGAAUUUUGGAAGGGGGUUGUAGCUGGCCUUUCGAGGCACGUGCACGCCCCUGUUCAAAUCCAUCUUUACCCCUGUGCACUUUGUGUAGGCUGAGAAAUCAGUCUAUGUUUUUCUUAAACACCAAAAAAUUAUGGAAUGUUUUCUAUGUAGGCUUUUUGAAUAAAGCUGAAAUAACUAUACAACUUUCAACAACGGAUCUCUUGGCUCUCGCAUCGAUGAAGAACGCAGCGAAAUGCGAUAAGUAAUGUGAAUUGCAGAAUUCAGUGAAUCAUCGAAUCUUUGAACGCACCUUGCGCUCCUUGGUAUUCCGAGGAGCAUGCCUGUUUGAGUGUCAUUAGAUUCUCAACUUUGCCAGGUCCACUUUGAACUUGUGUGAAGCUUGGAUUUGGAGGUGUGCUGGCUCUCAUCAUGAGUCGGCUCCUCUUGAAUGCAUUAGCGAAACCCUAUGAAGGGGGAUAGGCUUUGGUUUGAUAGUUAUCUAUGUCAUCGCCGUGAAACCUCGUAUUGAAAAGUUGGUUCGCUUCCAACCGUCCAAUCCUUUGGACAACAAAUAUAUUUUGACAUUUGACCUCAAAUCAGGUAGGACUACCCGCUGAACUUAAGCAUAU
rnacentral:rRNA from 1 species